UGACCUCGGAUCAGGUAGGGAUACCCGCUGAACUUAAGCAUAUCAAUAAGCGGAGGAAAAGAAACCAACAGGGAUUGCCUUAGUAACGGCGAGUGAAGCGGCA
rnacentral:rRNA from 1 species